UACGUAGGGUGCAAGCGUUAAUCGGAAUUACUGGGCGUAAAGCGUGCGCAGGCGGUUGUGUAAGACAGAUGUGAAAUCCCCGGGCUCAACCUGGGAACUGCAUUUGUGACUGCACAGCUGGAGUGCGGCAGAGGGGGAUGGAAUUCCGCGUGCAGCAGUGAAAUGCGUAGAUAUGCGGAGGAACACCGAUGGCGAAGGCAAUCCCCUGGGCCUGCACUGACGCUCAUGCACGAAAGCGUGGGGAGCAAACAGG
rnacentral:rRNA from 1 species